rnacentral:rRNA from 1 species
GGAAACGGGGGGGAGGGAGGCAGGGUAAUAAGUGGGGGUUGGGGGGUGGUCGGGAUGAUUGGGUGUAAAGUGGAGUUAGGCGGGUUGGGAAGGCGGGGGUGAAAACCUGGAGCUCAACCGCAGAACUGCCUUGGAUACUGGCGACCUUGAGUCCGGGAGAGGUGAGUGGAACUCCGAGUGUAGAGGUGAAAUUCGUAGAUAUUCGGAAGAACACCAGUGGCGAAGGCGGCUAACUGGCCCGUUACUGACGCUGAGGUGCGAAAGCGUGGGGAGCAAACAGGAUUAGAUACCCUUGUAGUC